rnacentral:rRNA from 1 species
AGAGUUUGAUCCUGGCUCAGGAUUAACGCUGGCGGCGUGCAUAACACAUGCAAGUCGAACGAUGAAACUUUAAUGAACCCUUCGGGGAGAAUUAAAGCGGAUUAGUGGCGAACGGGUGAGUAACGCGUGAGUAACCUGCCUUACACAAGGGGAUAGCCUUUGGAAACGAAGAAUAAUACCCUAUAAAACCAUAAAAGCACAUGCAAUUAUGGUCAAAGUAUUAGCGGUGUAAGAUGGACUUGCGUCUGAUUAGCUAGUUGGUGAGAUAAAAGCCCACCAAGGCAACGAUCAGUAGCCGGCUUGAGAGAGUGUACGGCCACAUUGGGACUGAGACACGGCCCAGACUCCUACGGGAGGCAGCAGUGGGGAAUUUUGCACAAUGGGGGAAACCCUGAUGCAGCGACGCCGCGUGAUUUAGAAGGCCUUCGGGUUGUAAAAAUCUUUUGUAUAGGAAGAAAAUGACAGUACUAUACGAAUAAGGUCCGGCUAAUUACGUGCCAGCAGCCGCGGUAAUACGUAAGGACCGAGCGUUGUCCGGAAUCAUUGGGCGUAAAGGGUACGUAGGCGGCUAGAAAAGUUAGAAGUCAAAGGCUAUAGCUCAACUAUAGUAAGCUUCUAAAACUAUUUAGCUUGAGAGAUGGAAGGGAAAGUGGAAUUCCUAGUGUAGCGGUGGAAUGCGCAGAUAUUAGGAGGAAUACCGGUGGCGAAGGCGACUUUCUGGCCAUCUUCUGACGCUGAGGUACGAAAGCGUGGGUAGCAAACAGGAUUAGAUACCCUGGUAGUCCACGCCGUAAACGAUGAGUGUUAGUGUCUGGAGUCAAAUCUGGGUGCCGCAGCAAACGCAUUAACACUCCGCCUGGGGAGUACGCACGCAAGUGUGAAACUCAAAGGAAUUGACGG